GCCCCUUUAUAGUCAAUCAAUUCAAAAAUAUUCAUAUUAUAUCUGUUUGUCUUGUUUGCAUAUUGUUACCAAUAUAAUGGAAUUCUAUCAGAAUUUCAUACACGUGAGAGAUAAAGCUAGCUAUGAAACCAGGAGAUGUGUUCUCGGAAGUAUCCUUAGAUUCUUUCUAAGACACCUCAUAAGAUCAAUUUUAGGAUGGAUUUAGUAUCA
rnacentral:lncRNA from 1 species